rnacentral:rRNA from 1 species
AUACGGAGGGUGCAAGCGUUAUCCGGAAUCAUUGGGUUUAAAGGGUCCGCAGGCGGAUUAAUAAGUCAGUGGUGAAAUCCUCUCGCUCAACGAGAGAACUGCCAUUGAAACUGUUAGUCUUGAAUUCGGUCGAAGUAGGCGGAAUGUGUCAUGUAGCGGUGAAAUGCAUAGAUAUGACACAGAACACCGAUAGCGAAGGCAGCUUACUAGACCUGGAUUGACGCUCAUGGACGAAAGCGUGGGGAGCGAACAGGAUUAGAUACCCCUGUAGUCC